UACAGAGGUGGCAAGCGUUGUUCGGAAUUACUGGGCGUAAAGGGCGCGUAGGUGGCCUUCUUAGUCAGACGUGAAAUCCCCGGGCUUAACUCGGGAACUGCGUCUGAUACUGGAAGGCUGGAGUUCGGGAGAGGAAUGUGGAAUUCCAGGUGUAGCGGUGAAAUGCGUAGAUAUCUGGAGGAACACCGGUGGCGAAGGCGGCAUCCUGGACCAAUUCUGACGCUGAGGAGCGAAAGCCAGGGGAGCAAACGGG
rnacentral:rRNA from 1 species